CCCUGGUUAGCCCAGUUAGUAGAGCGCUCCACUGAAAAUGGAGAGGUCCCGCGUUCGAUACCCAGACGAGGGA
rnacentral:tRNA from 1 species